rnacentral:snRNA from 1 species
UAUGCUAUUAUGCACUACUUUCAU